rnacentral:siRNA from 1 species
UUUUAAUUUUGGUUAUGAUAUGAC